UCAUAUGCUUGUCUCAAAGACUAAGCCAUGCAAGUCUAAGUACAUGCUUUAACAAAGUGAAACCGCGAAUGGCUCAUUAAAUCAGUUAUGGUCCAUUAGAUCGUACUAUCCUACUUGGAUAACUGUGGUAAUUCUAGAGCUAAUACAUGCAGCAGAACUCAGACCUUCGGGGACGAGUGCUUUUAUUAGACCAAGACCAAUCGGGCUUCGGCUCGACACCCAUGGCGACUCUGGAUAACUUUGGGCUGAUCGCACGAUCUUGUAUCGGCGACGUUUCUUUUUAAGUGUCUGCCUUAUCAACUGUCGAUGGUAGGUUAUGCGCCUACCAUGGUCGUAACGGGUGACGGGGAAUCAGGGUUCGAUUCCGGAGAGGGAGCCUGAGAAACGGCUACCACAUCCAAGGAAGGCAGCAGGCGCGCAAAUUACCCACUCCCGGCAAGGGGAGGUAGUGACGAAAAAUAACGAUGCGGGACUCUUUUGAGGCCCCGCAAUCGGAAUGAGUACACUCUAAAUCCUUUAACGAGGAUCCAUUGGAGGGCAAGUCUGGUG
rnacentral:rRNA from 1 species